GAAGAGGGUGUCAUCUUUACAAUUCUUUCAUUUGAGUCGCUAAUGGCCUCUUGGAGUUGCUGCCACCUCUUUUCAAUGGCUCACCACUGUUCAAUGUUCCAGAUUAAACCCAGAAUAUUCACAGCCCUGGCAAAUAUACAGAGUGAAAUCGAGAUCUUGACCGGAGUCUCGCUUCCAGCCAGAAGAAUCAUGUUGGUGAAAUAUGACUUUGAACAUUAAUCUGGCAGAGCGACGAAUCGUUUUAGGCUUAAUGGAGAGUAGAUGGAGCAGAUGUUGUCCAGACCUCCGCACGCCACGUAGUUCCCAGAGGGGGCGUACGCACAGGUCAUUACCCAGGAGGAGCGCAGAGG